GUGCUGAAUCGUUAUGUUAAGUAGUGAUUUGAUAAAAUCGAGAAUGGAAAUGGAAUUGUAAUGAUCCUUUAUUUAAAGGUAACAAAGAGAAAACUUCGAAAUACAAAUAAACUAGAGGCUCUAAAGAGCCUGUGUCGCUCACCUAUGGUCUAUGUGCAUAUUAAACAAAGGACACAGAUGGAUUCAUGACAAAAUUGUGUUUUGGUGAUGGUAAUGUGUUUGUAGAUGUUACUUUACUGAACAUUUUAGCUACUUACAAAUUUCUCUAUCUAUAAUAUCGGAAUAGUCUACCUUGCUCGUCAUCGAUCUGACUUUCUACCCGAGAGUUUUUGACACGAGUAACGAUCGAGAAGCAAGUCACUCGAGAAGAGAUCGAGAAUUCGUCGAGUAGCGGUCGAAUUGAUCGGGAAAGGAUCGUGUAGAGAUCGAGUUUAGUCGGAAUACAAAAAUGUUACCAAUCAGUACUCGAUCAUUUCGACCUUUGCUCGACUAAUGUCCGAUCAUUUCCAUAUUAACUCGACCAAUGCCCGAUCGCUUCCAGAUCACUGCGACUUGUACAUUUAUAUUACCCCAGACCAACUCGACCAAUACCCGAUCCCUUCGCGACCACAUUCGACCACUCUUCGAUCUCCACUCGCCCAUACACGAAAACACAUGACUGCUACACGAUUUUCUAAAAGUGUGUGCAGAUCUGAUUAACUUUCAAACUAUGCUUCCGCAAAAAUAUAUUUUUAAAUGUACGAAAAUUCCUCCAUGUACAGUACGUGUCUUUACCUUUGCAAGGAAAGGUACCAUAUUAAAAGAGAGACAGAAGACACCAAAGGAGCAAUCGAACUCAGAGGUCGAAAACAAACCGACACAGCCAUAGCGAAAAAACGGUAACCGACGAGAAGACAAACAGCAGUCCACAUAACAUAGAAAACUAAAACUUAGCAACACGUAACCCAGCAAAACCUGAUGAUCUCAGAUGUUCCGGAAGGAAAGAAAAUCCUGCGAUGUUUGCACCGGCGGCUUUUUCAAAUAUUAAAAUAAUUGUGCAAUAGUAUUCAUUGUUAGACUGCUGAUAACUAAGCUAUCUGUCAAAGUUGGUUUAUAAGAACAUCAAGUUUAUAUUUUACCUGUUUUAUGGGCUAUUUUCUGUUUUGUCUGUCCGUAUUUUACGUUUGUCCAGAAAUGUUUGACGUAUAAAUAAAAGAAGAUGUGGUACAAUUGCGAAUGAGACAGCUCUUCACAGAACACCAAAUGACACAGAAAUUAUCAAUAACAACUAUAGGUCACCUUACAGUCAAUUUGUUUUUCAUUUGAACUUUUUGACGUAAUUUCACACAAAAAUGAGACGAAAGACAAAUAUUUUUUAUUUGGUACGAAUUCUUUCUAACAGUAACG
rnacentral:lncRNA from 1 species